GACAGAGGGGGCAAGCGUUGCUCGGAAUUACUGGGCGUAAAGGGCGCGUAGGCGGGAUGGCAAGUCGGUCGUGAAAGCCUUCGGCUCAACCGAAGAAUGUCGGCCGAUACUGCCGUUCUUGAGGGAUGCAGAGGAGACUGGAAUUCCCGGUGUAGCGGUGAAAUGCGUAGAUAUGCGGAGGAACACCGAUGGCGAAGGCAAUCCCCUGGACCUGUACUGACGCUCAUGCACGAAAGCGUGGGGAGCAAACAGG
rnacentral:rRNA from 1 species